AGUGAACGCUGGCGGUAGGCCUAACACAUGCAAGUCGAACGGCAGCACAGUAAGAGCUUGCUCUUACGGGUGGCGAGUGGCGGACGGGUGAGGAAUACAUCGGAAUCUACUUUUUCGUGGGGGAUAACGUAGGGAAACUUACGCUAAUACCGCAUACGACCUACGGGUGAAAGCAGGGGAUCUUCGGACCUUGCGCGAUUGAAUGAGCCGAUGUCGGAUUAGCUAGUUGGCGGGGUAAAGGCCCACCAAGGCGACGAUCCGUAGCUGGCCUGAGAGGAUGAUCAGCCACACUGGAACUGAGACACGGUCCAUACUCCUACGGGAGGCAGCAGUGGGGAAUAUUGGACAAUGGGCGCAAGCCUGAUCCAGCCAUACCGCGUGGGUGAAGAAGGCCUUCGGGUUGUAAAGCCCUUUUGUUGGGAAAGAAAAGCAGCAGGUUAAUACCCCGCUGUUCUGACGGUACCCAAAGAAUAAGCACCGGCUAACUUCGUG
rnacentral:rRNA from 1 species